ACUUGACAGCAAGGUGGCUUCUGC
rnacentral:piRNA from 1 species